rnacentral:rRNA from 1 species
AGCUCCAAUAGCGUAUAUUAUUGAUGUUGCAGUUGAAAAGUUCGUAGUCUAACUUCGUCCGUUUAGGUCUUGAUUAUCUUUUGAUGAUCUAGUCUUUCAACGGAGAAUGUGCAAUCGCUUCACGUGUGUUUCACAUGUGUGACUUUUGCAUCCUACUUUGAGUGAAUCGGCGUGUUCCACGCAAGCUUGAGCUUUGAACGAUCAACCAUAGAAUAGGCAGACUGUGUUAACGCUUCUUUGUUUGUUCGGAGGCGUUUUCUAUACAGAAAAGAACAGUCGAUGGUAUUUGUAUUCAACUGCCAGAGGUGAAAUUCUUUGAUUAGUUGAGGACAAACUACUGCGAAAGCAUCUACCAAGGAUGUUUCUUUUG